ACCUGCGCGGAAGGACGCCUGGCCUCUAAAGUGCUUAGCAAGCUUGUCUCAGUGGAUGUUACCUGACUUUCCUAAGUCCUUGUUGAGACUUCUCCUUUAAAACCGUGUCAGGAUCCCAUGGAAAAGCUGUUGAGAAAAGCUUACUCAGGAUCCAGUUUAGAUUCAAGAGGGAAAUGUCUGCAGAACACCAGGAGAUCUGAAGCAGAUGAAGAGAUGAGAUGAGAGCCACUCCAGAGCUGUGCAAACAGCUUGGGUUGAGCCCAGAGUGUUUCCAUCCUGAUCUUCUGCAAGUCUGGACCUUGAAGGCUUCAGCUUCCAGCCUCCAUCUGCUGACCUAGGCCUAGAAUGUUUCAGCCCCUGAAACUUACUGCUAAAUAAACUCAAUCUUUCUACUUCUUUCUGAACUCUGCCUGGCUGGUUCAACUCAGCUGUUCUGGCUCAAACUCCUCUUCAAGCUGAGCAGUAAUGAACUCAACUGCUCUCCUCUGAACUGAACUGCGCACAAUGACACCCAACUGACUGCACCAAACUGAACUGAAUGUAAUUGAACUCUCUGUCCCUGCACUGCUCUUAAGUAGCCUCUUUUCCUGUCUAUUCUCGUGAGUGUUUGGCAUAUCCCAUUUCUGUCUCAUUCUCUCAAAUCUUUCUCUGAUUCUUUACUCUGUCCGUGCCUCAAUUAGAUGUUACUGUUUGUGAUUGAAGGUACGUACUCCAGCCAGAGGGGUUAAGGGUGCGUGGCAUGUCUGCAUUCCAGCCAGAUCUUAUCUUUGGAUGUGAUUCUUGCCAGAGCAGCCACGUUAUUAGAUUAAAUUCCUUUCCACCUGUCUA